GUGGAUUGGGGGGGGCAGGGCUGGGUAAUAGGAAGGUGGCGGGAGUAGUGCUGAAUGAGUGGGCGGAGAGUGCAGGCAGGCGGUGUGUCAAGUCAGGGGUGAAAGCCCGGAGGUCAACACAGGAACUGCCAUGGAGAAUGUAGAAGUUGAGGAUGAGAGAGGUGAGUGGAAUACCCAGUGUAGAGGGGAAAUGCGUAGAUAUUGAGAAGAACACCGGUGGCGAAGGCGGCUCACUGGCUCAUUUCUGACGCUCAGGCGCGACAGCGUGGGGAUCAAACAGGAUUAGAUACCCGAGUAGUC
rnacentral:rRNA from 1 species